UAGGGAAUAUUGGGCAAUGGAGGAAACUCUGACCCAGCAACGCCGCGUGAAGGAUGAAGGUUUUCGGAUUGUAAACUUCUUUUACGAGAGAAAAAUAAAUGAUGGUAUCUCGUGAAUCAGCCACGGCAAACUAUGUGCCAGCAGCCGCGGUAAGACAUAGGUGGCAAGCGUUGUCCGGAAUAACUGGGCGUAAAGAGAGCGUAGGCGGCUUUGCAAGUCGAUGGUGAAAUCCUGGAGCUUAACUCCAGAACUGCCAUCGAAACUGCUAGGCUAGAGUAUGGGAGAGGAAGAUGGAAUUCCAAGUGUAGCGGUGGAAUGCGUAGAUAUUUGGAGGAACAUCGGUGGCGAAGGCGAUCUUCUGGAACAUUACUGACGCUGAGGUUCGAAAGCGUGGGGAGCAAACA
rnacentral:rRNA from 1 species